rnacentral:rRNA from 1 species
AUGAACGCUGGCGGCGUGCCUAAUACAUGCAAGUCGAGCGAACGGACGCGAAGCUUGCUUUUCUGAUGUUAGCGGCGGACGGGUGAGUAACACGUGGAUAACCUACCUAUAAGACUGGGAUAACUUCGGGAAACCGGAGCUAAUACCGGAUAAUAUUUUGAACCGCAUGGUUCAAAAGUGAAAGACGGUCUUGCUGUCACUUAUAGAUGGAUCCGCGCUGCAUUAGCUAGUUGGUAAGGUAACGGCUUACCAAGGCAACGAUGCAUAGCCGACCUGAGAGGGUGAUCGGCCACCCUGGAACUGAGACACGGUCCAGACUCCUACGGGAGGCAGCAGUAGGGAAUCUUCCGCAAUGGGCGAAAGCCUGACGGAGCAACGCCGCGUGAGUGAUGAAGGUCUUCGGAUCGUAAAACUCUGUUAUUAGGGAAGAACAUAUGUGUAAGUAACUGUGCACAUCUUGACGGUACCUAAUCAGAAAGCCACGGCUAACUACGUG